GACGAACGCUGGCGGCGUGCUUAACACAUGCAAGUCGAACGGAAAGGCCCUGCUUUUGUGGGGUGCUCGAGUGGCGAACGGGUGAGUAACACGUGAGUAACCUGCCCUUGACUUUGGGAUAACUUCAGGAAACUGGGGCUAAUACCGGAUAGGAGCUCCUGCUGCAUGGUGGGGGUUGGAAAGUUUCGGCGGUUGGGGAUGGACUCGCGGCUUAUCAGCUUGUUGGUGGGGUAGUGGCUUACCAAGGCUUUGACGGGUAGCCGGCCUGGGAGGGUGACCGGCCACAUUGGGACUGAGAUACGGCCCAGACUCCUACGGGAGGCAGCAGUGGGGAAUAUUGCACAAUGGGCGGAAGCCUGAUGCAGCAACGCCGCGUGCGUGAUGACGGCCUUCGGGUUGUAAACCGCUUUCGCCUGUGACGAAGCGUGAGUGACGGUAAUGGGUAAAGAAGCACCGGCUAACUACGUG
rnacentral:rRNA from 1 species